GGGAAGGGAAGGGGGUCAGGGAAGGCCUCCUUAAGGAAGCUGCCAGUUAAAUGAAGCCCCAAAUGCUGAGCAGGAAGCGGCCAGAUGAACAGAAUAGGGGAGGGUUGUCUAUGGCCAUACUAUCCUGAGCGCACCCCAUCUCCUCUGAUCUCGGAAGCUCAGCAGGGUCGGGCCUGUAGAGACGGGGUUUCACCAUGUUGGCCAGGCUGGUCUCGAAUUCCUGACUUCAAGUGAUGGGCCUGCCUCAAUGUCCAAAAUUGCUGGGAUUCCAGGAGUGAGCCACCACGUCCGGUCCUGCCAUCAUUCUUAACAAGAGCGCCCCCACCAUCGUCCAGGGAGAGAUGGAAUAUCCAGAGAAGAACAGAGCUCACAGAAGAGUAAAUUAAACAACUGAAGGAAGGUCCCUGUGAGCUGCAGUCCCGGGAGAAGAGGAAACCCUUCAACAUGGAUUCUGGAAAGAACAGCCUUGGCUUUCUUCUGAACAAAAAGUUCUGGCCCAGCUGGACCCGGGGUGGGCACCGGGAGUGCAGGCUGCUAGUCCUCUCCUGCCAGCUUUGCGAGGCGUGGGGAGCACCUGCAGCAUGGCUCACCUGAACCCAGUCCCCAGGCCCAUGGCCUCCGAGAGAUGAACACUGGCUGCCCAGAAGCAGGUGUGGGUAGGAGGGCAGAGGGACUGCCCGCAGGCGUCCCUGGGCUCCCUGGCUCCUUUCUGCUGAUGUGCCGCCUCAGUCGGACAGAGGUUUCAACACACUUGUACCCUUCUCAACACAGGCCAGGCGUCUCCGGGGCCUGGAAGAAAACCAAGGUCAGGGGAUCUCCUAGUUCAACAAGGGAGAACAACAUGUAAGGAAGAUAAAAAUUAAAGCCGUGUCGGAUGUGA